CAGGUCUAUUUCAUUUCUCACCAAAACUGGCUAGUAGUGGCUGAUGGAGUUGGCCAGUGGUCAUUUGAAGGUAUCCUUUCUACAAUAUUUGGAAACCCAUGAGCAUUAAUAUUUGAGCCAAUGACAAUGCUGCAGAAGAUGGCCGAGCUUAUAGAGUACUCUUACCUGUUAUUAGAUAUGGCGGAUAAGACUGAGGAUCCAUACAUGAGACUAGUAUAUGCUUCAUCAUUCUUUAUAUCUAUCUACUAUCCCUAACAACGAACGUGGAAGCCAUUCAAUCCAAUUCUUGUCAUAAAUUAUAUUUUAUACCAAGUUUUUCAGACCAUAAAAGCACCUAAAUGUUAAUUAAUUUCUCUUUGUUUAGGAUGAUAUAAAAAUACAAUCAUACUAUAAUAGUCA